AAUCAAAUAAAAUCGAAAUUUAAUAUAUUGGUAUCGUUAUUUGGACUGGAUAUAAGGAUUAUUUAUAUUGAAUUUAAAUCUGGAAUAUUUUUCAUCUGAAUUGAUUUCAAUAUAUAUGCUCCUGACAUUUAAAUCUAUUUGUUAAAGCAUGUAUGUGUAAUUAUGGCAUCCUGUGGAAAUAAUGCAAAGGCGAUUAUAUUUUAUGACAGUGAAGGCGCAAACGAAGCGUCUAAAACAGAGGCAGACAAAUUGAGGUUCUUCAUUGAAAAGAAUGGUGGAUACACAUGUCAAACUGACCAUGAAAUAAGAAUACCUGGAACCGAAGAUAUGAAUAACAUUCACAAUUCAAUUAAUCGUAAUGAUAGAAUAAUAAUUCUUAUAACAGAUCAAUCUGCUUCAAAAGGAUGGUUCACAUUUGCAGUUUUGUCUGCCUUAGAAAACAUAAAUGUGGAAAAUCAUGAGACUUUUGGUCGCAUACAAAGGAAAUCGACGUGAAGAUGUUGGGAAAACCGGAUUGCUGUCGUUGACGCCCAAGACGUUUGUCGACCUCACUGAAUGGCAGGGAUAUGAAAGGCUUCUCAAACAACUGAAAACUCCAGUGUGUUUGGACAAAGAAUUACCAGCGGGAAACUUGCAUCUUGGCUUGGUCCAUUCCCACAUAUCCGGUUACAUGGGCUAUGUUGCUGAAGAACAAGAAUUGGUUGGAGAAAUGCGAUGGUUACAGAAGAACAAAAAACUACUGAUUGGAAAUUUUCUGUUGGCUGUACCAAAAACCUGCGCUGUCCCACAGCAGCUUCCGUCAAAUUCAGCAUCAGGCAUUGUUAUUUCGAAUGUGGAUACAUUUGAGUUUAAGAGAAUACAUGCGGGUAAAAACACAGAGAUAAUGUUGUUACCAUCAACCAGAUAAAGCACGCGAACAACGAGUUGUACGUUUGUGCCCAGGUACCAACUACGAUAACUGCAAUAUCACAUCUUGCAAAGCAGCACCUUGGGAAAAUAAAUGUCGCUCUUGAGCACCAGCUUUUCUGUCAAUCAUACCAGCAGAUAAUCGAUGCGAAAGGAUGGAGUGACUUCUUGGAAAUCGUUCCAUGUGAAGAUGAAAACGAUAUUCCUGUCGCGUUGUUUAAGGCAGCGACGGCAAACAAUAUCAAGAAGACUGGGGCAGAAACUUCUCUAAUAAGCUGGAGUUUUGUCCGAUGUUAAAAGGAUUUUCCAGAUGAGUGUUUACAUAUCAUGUUUUGAUAUUGAUGGAGAUUUUUGUGAAAGUCGAAAAAGAGCUACAAAAACAUCAUAUGAACAUCAUACGACAUGAAAACACACCAGGAAGAUUCCUGCUCUCAGAUGGUGACAAUCGAGAAGGAUGGAUAAUAGUUAUUGUAUCGAAAGAAUCGCUGAAAAGCGAACUGCUUUCUUUCAAUCUCAUAAAAUGCCUGAUUGCCGAUGUUGAUGACGGCAGAUUGAGGAUCCUGCUUGUAUUGCGCAGCGGUGUGAAUAUCUCAGAAGUACCAAGAUGUAUUCGUUGGGUUACAGUAUUCAGCAAAGAUGAGAAAUCCUACAAAAACUGGAUUGAGAACCAGUAGAUAUUGGCAGGGCACUUCCAGCAGGGGAUGUUAUUCCAGGCUUAUGUUGGGCCUAUGUCUUGAACUACCUGAAUAUUGUGCUGACGACCAGCAGUCACAUCGUACUGUGAAGAUCUGGGAGGUCCAGACGCCAGCCAUUCGAUGUCAGUAUCAGAUACGCCAUUCUUCAUUAAAACGUUUACAACUCCCUGCAUACUCUAUCCUCGUUUCCCUUGUGAGAAACUGUCCUCUCCAUCGACUCCGUCCGUAAAGAAUCUCCUGUCAACGCUGGCAUAUGCAAUACUGUCAUCAUUUUUGUUUAUACUUUAAUCUAUCGAGAAUAAUAGCCAGAGUUGAUCAUGUAUCUAUGGACAUAAGUACACAGGUAUGGUCUAUUAGUAUUCGAAAAUGCCACGUUGAGCGUGAUUUGUCAUCCAUAUUGAAAAGAACAUUUUUCUGUUCUUAACAACUACGCUGUCAAUAGAAAAAACAAAAAUGAGAAACCUUCAAAAAGUUGUCUGGUAUUUUUCAUUUAGCAGACCUUCGUACGAGUUCAUAUUUGCAGUCGAUAACAAAGAAACAUAUACUUAAAAACUAGGUAUCGAUUUAAACAUGGUGUUCGUAGAGCAAGUUCAUGCGGUUAUCACCAUUGAAACCUUGUCAAUUUCAUUGUUUAUACCAUUUAACCAUGUGUACACCAAGUGUUGCUGUAAAUACAUGUUUAAUAAUUUCGUACUAUUCUCCCUUUACUUGAACUUUUUUUUUCUUCCCUAUUAUACCAAGUGGACUCGCCCAUCCUUUUAAAUUGGAUCAAUUUAUUUCCAAAAUAUUAGGGAUGUCUAGUAUAUUUAUUUUUAUAUUUAGAAUAUUUCAUAAAAAAAUGCCUUUAAGCAAAAAGCGCAGACCCAGAUAAGACGCCGCAUGAUGCGGCGUCUCAUCUGGGUAUAUGCUUUUUACCAAGGCCUUUUUUCUAGA